UACGUAGGGUGCAAGCGUUAAUCGGAAUUACUGGGCGUAAAGCGUGCGCAGGCGGUGAUGUAAGACAGUUGUGAAAUCCCCGGGCUCAACCUGGGAACUGCAUCUGUGACUGCAUUGCUGGAGUGCGGCAGAGGGGGAUGGAAUUCCGCGUGUAGCAGUGAAAUGCGUAGAUAUGCGGAGGAACACCGAUGGCGAAGGCAAUCCCCUGGGCCUGCACUGACGCUCAUGCACGAAGCGUGGGAGCAAACAGG
rnacentral:rRNA from 1 species